rnacentral:rRNA from 1 species
AGUACAGACGAGUUUGAUCAUGGCUCAGGAUGAACGCUAGCGGCAGGCCUAACACAUGCAAGUCGAGGGGUAGAGUUCUUCGGGACUUGAGACCGGCGCACGGGUGCGUAACGCGUAUGCAAUCUACCUUAUACAGGGGAAUAGCCCAGAGAAAUUUGGAUUAAUGCCCCAUAGUGUUAUAGAAUCGCAUGGUUUUAUAACUAAAGUUCCAACGGUAUAAGAUGAGCAUGCGUCCCAUUAGUUAGUUGGUAAGGUAACGGCUUACCAAGACAAUGAUGGGUAGGGGUCCUGAGAGGGAGAUCCCCCCACACUGGUACUGAGACACGGACCAGACUCCUACGGGAGGCAGCAGUGAGGAAUAUUGGUCAAUGGGCGCAAGCCUGAACCAGCCAUGCCGCGUGCAGGAAGACGGUCCUAUGGAUUGUAAACUGCUUUUAUACAGGAAGAAACCUCCCUACGUGUAGGGACUUGACGGUACUGUAGGAAUAAGGAUCGGCUAACUCCGUG